rfam:Ictidomys tridecemlineatus contig003565, whole genome shotgun sequence.
GUGGUGGCUCAGUGGUAGAGUGCACGCCUGGCAUGCAUGAGGCACUGGGUUCAAUCCUCGGCACCACA